UCUGGCAUCGCUGGAGUUUAACUCAGUCCCUCUCUUCGGAGAACGCCAUUGAUUCCGCUGAGCUGCGCUCGCGCUACAACGCCACCGCUGUGGACUUGAGUGAGUCGCCAUGUUGUUUAUUGCUCGGAAUGAGUGAAGCGGCCAGUUUGUUUUAGGCCUUGACGCACCGAAGCAACGCCUCGGACCCGCAACGUAAAGGGGGAAGUGUGCUGAUGGUGUCAGACUAUAUACAGCCGACCAAAUGAGAUUGACCAGAAUACCCCCAGCUCAGAGGUUAAAGGUACUGUCCAAUAGCCCGUCAUCCCAGGUCUCACUCACACAUCCCUCUGCCAAUAGCGUAGCACGGAACUCCAAUAUGUGCUCUUCACUUUGUUCCAAAGAAUUCCUGUAUAUGGGGGAGAAAGUGACCGUAUGGAUAAAUGGUUGCAUGGACCAUAUGGAUAUCAAGGAAAAGCCAUAUGAGAAGGGUUCAGUUAUAUGUGGCAAGGAAAGCGGCCUGUGCCGCUGUGUGUUGGGAAAGUUCAACAGAUUAGUUCCGGUGUCUGAGCGCAUUUCUUCCACAGCCUCACUCCAAGGCCACUCUGCCAGCAAAUUCUGGGAGCAGAUCCCAACCUGGUACGGCAUGCUAGUCUCCAGUACCACACAUCCUAACCAGUGACAGAGAUUGUAAUUAUCCAAAUAAACCUCCUCACCAGUAGGGGGCAUGUUCCGUCCACACUCUUCCCACUGACAGAACCAGGUGAAACAGAGGGGUGCAUGGGAUUUUAAAUGACACCAAAAACUAGCCACCACUGGAUUCAUGGAUCCGUUCUAUUAGCCCAUUCAAGAGACCAACUGGUCACACUGGCUGUCAGACACUGUUUUAUCGGUAGAGAGGGAACAACAGUUAAAUGGAAAUGCCACAACUCACAGCGGUGUCCACGAAUCAAGUUUACAACUGCGAGCAUCGUCCCGCACCCAGCCAGGGCUGUCAGAACGCCAUGCAGCGUCAUUUAUGGUAGACAUUUACGACUGGCUUCUAGGUGCUUUAUGUCUUUCAGUAAAUAGCUUAGAAUAACGACUUUGUACCAAGCAGAACGCUUAAACUUCAGGCAAACCCAAAUCAGCACUGUCUGUAGGAUUGUACGUAGUACAAAUUAAGUUGCUAUGUAGGUAGGAUGAUGAGUUCACAUUUUACCAAGAAGAAAAAAAAAAUCCCAGCGCACCAGAAUAAUGGCAUACAGUAAGUCAUUUUUAUUUUGUGCAGCAGUUUCAUACAGCAGCGAUGCAUCCUGAUGUGGCGUACUGGGGCUCACGCUCUUACUGCUGGGAUGAUUUAGGCCUUUUGGGACGAGUGGGGAGCGCCACAAAGCCGCAACGGGCCUACUAUCCCUGAGACGGGUGGGGGGGUAGGCCUGGUGGAAGAUAAGAAGAGGACUGGAAUGCUUUGCUAGAGGUUCUGAGUGGGAAACAGCUACAUAAAUAUAAACAUAUAUAAUGUUAUACAGUGCUGUGAAAAAGAAUGUCCCCCUUCUAUUAUUGCAUGUGUGUCACACUGAAUGGUUUCAGAUGUUUAAUAACUUUU